GGCACAGUGGCGGAGAGGUUAACGCGCAAGACUUGAAUCUUCAUGACAUCUUGUUCCUUCGGGAGCGUCCGUUCGAAUCGGGCCUGUGUCG